AUGNUAGUAGGGUGAUUAUUUUCAGAUAAAAUUCUGGAGUAUAUCAAAUAGAUUAAAUAGUACUAAUCCAGUAAUUACUUCCUUUUGUUGAUUGAGACAACAGAAUUGUUUACUGACCAACACUAAAAAUAAGCACACACACUGGUGUCACAAACAGUGAUGGAUACAUGACUUGCUUGCUUUAACAAACAGUUCUGUAAUCUUGUAAAUUUUUGAUGAGGUAGCUUUCAGUAUUGCUUACGUGUGCCAUUCACAGAAAUGGAAGUGGUGUCAAUGUUGAAGGCUGUGAUGUUUGAAGCUGCGCUGACCAAAGUAUUUCCAAUCUGAGUGUCAUUAGGUACAGAUGCAAAUCCUAGGUCCAUGGUUUGUUGAACCUCCAGUUAUAGUUGAGGCAACAGUUGUGGUUGAUCCCCCAGUUGUAGUUGACGCACCAGUUGUUGUUGAGACAUCAGUUGAAGUUGAUGCACCAGUUGUAGUUGACGCACCAGUUGUAGUUGAUGCACCAGUUGUAGUUGAUCCACCAUUUGCUGUUGAUCCACCAGUUGUAGUAGAUCCCCCAGUUGCUGUUGACCCUCCAGUAGCUGACGUACCAGUUGUUGUUGAAGCUCCUGUUGUAGUUGAGGCAGCAGUUGUUGUUGACCCACCAGUUGUCGUUGAACCUCUAGUUGUUGUUGACCCACUAAUUGUUGUUGUUGAACCUCCAGUUAUAGUUGAGGCAACAGUUGUUGUUGAUCCCCCAGUUGUAGUUGACGCACCAGUUGUAGUAGAUCCCCCAGUUGUUGUUGAUACUCCAGUAGCUGAUGUACCAGUUGUUGUUGAAGCUCCUGUUGUAGUUGAGGCAGCAGUUGUUGUUGACCCACUAAUUGUUGUUGUUGAACCUCCAGUUAUAGUUGGCGCACCAGUUGUUGUUGAAGCUACAGGUGUAGUACAUACAUAGUACAUAUACAUUACAAUAUACUGUACUGUAUGUUUAUGUUUGGAAAGUUAUAGUAAAGGACAGUUAAAGUGGUCUUGCUGAUGCUGACCAACACUAAGAAUAAGCACACACACACACACACACACACACACACACACACACACACACACACACUGGUGUCACAGACAGUGAUACAUGCCUUGCUGCUGGAGUGCAAUACAAGUGUACUUUUACUUACGAACUACUUUGAUGGAGUCAGUCUGAACAGAGAGGUUGAAAUUGUUGCUGGAGUUAGACACAGCUUCUAUUAAGGUGUCUGCCACAUCACCUGACUGUGGGAUAUCAGAAGAUGAUGCAGUAUUGUUGAACUCAACCCCCACCUCUGCUUCAGUAUUUUCCAUUCGUGUUCUGGUCACAGCUUGUCUGCAUCAAAAAAGCACACAUCAUAAUGAAAUUAUAUUAACAUUGAUAAUUUAUGUGUAACUAUUCCACUUUUUGCCAUUAAUAACAAUCCAGAAAGUAAAGCAAAGUCUCUUUAUAAGAAUUUAAAAUCUUACCUAAAAGCUAUGACAAAACUGCGGAUGAAGAGGAGGCCAUAUCUUUUCUUGUAGAUAACAUUAUACUGUGGGAAGGAAGCAAACAGGAAAAUAUAAACAAACAAAUACAUUAUUCUCCAAGUGAAAUUAAGAACUGAAAACUCUCUUAAAGGUGGGGUCAGUCAUUCUGGAGAAAGCCUGAACUUUCCCAGGUCAUUCAAAUAUGUGUCAAAUACUGGCACUUAGAGUUCCCAGGUCCUGCAAGCACAAAAAACACCUGUUUUAUUGUGUGACUUGCCCCAGGCCAUUUUGAUUCCCAUUUACCAUAACCCAAAGUGUUGGUAUUUGACAACCUGGGAAUGAGGCUCAAAUCAACUGGCUUUCUCCAGAAUAAGUGACCCCACCUUUAAUACACUUAGAAAGAUAAUGAGCUAUUGUACUCACCACUGCGACAACUUUUGCCUCAAGACUCUUAAAUUGUGCACUGUUUGAAUCUUUUAAUUCUUCUACAAAUGGUUCGACUAUGAUUGCUGCGAUAACCACAACUGGCUGGACAGGUGCAUUAGUUGUAGUAGUUGUUGUUGCUGUUGUUCCAACAGAUGUUGUUGAAGCAGAGGUUGUUGUGGAUCCAGUAGUUGUUGUUGAACCUCCAGUUGUAGUUGAGACAGCUGUUGAUGUCGACCCACCAGUUGU
rnacentral:lncRNA from 15 species